AUAUAGUUUUUUCUUGCCCAUUCACCGUCUUGAAUGGCACACAUACACAAUCCAUGUCUCAAGGCUUAAAACUCCUUCUUUAACCUGUCUCCUCCCCUUCAUCUACACUGAUUGAAGUUAGAUUUGAGGAUUCACCUUGCAGAAAUCGUUCUGCCAUUUCCUGGUUGCAAAAGAACUGUACGUUUAUGACACUGUAUAGUGUAGAGAAUCAUUUAACCAUCUAAACCAUUUCCACAACCAAAGAUUUUUAAUUUUACAGCUGUUUGAAGCUGGUGUAUGAAACUUAAGAAUGGAAAGCAUAGAAAUAGAACAGAUCUACCUCUUCUUAGACUUGCUUUCAAUGAGAAUGACGGAUCUUUAACUCACAUUUCUAUGUGAAUUUGGUCACGUCCCCCCCCCCCCUCCAAAAAAAGUGACAUCAAGGGAUCAUAGCGUCCGCCUGUUGUGGAAAGAACGGGUGUUUCCUAAACUUUUGUACAUUCAGUGUAUGUUGCUUAUUUUUUAAGAGAGCCGUAUGUGAAUUGGUAAGCAUCGGGAGUCCUUACUGAUAAGAAGGAAACAGGAUAUUUGAACGACCUAGCUAUUAGCUAAGGACAAUGUUCAUGGUUCACAAAAUGUCUGACUAAAAUGAUUAUAUUAUCAUUUUGAAGCAACUUUUUUUUUUUUUUUUUACAUGGCUGUUAGAGUAAGACCGUAGGGCCUGGUAUUCAUAAACCUCUCAUGGUGGAUUUACACCCGAGACUUUACUCCACAGUGUCACCAGUGGCUCUAGUGUUAUUUUGUUUCCAUCAAGGAGUGUGACACUAAAGUCUUGUGGUGAGCAGAAUCAACAAACCCCUGUGUCAUCAAGUUGCUUUGUGACUUAUUAUGUAGGUCUGUGCAGGUCCAGUGAGUAGUAGGUCUGUACAGGUCGAUGAGUGAGUAGUAGGUCUGUACAGGUCGAUGAGUGAGUGGUAGGUCUGUACAGGUCGAUGAGUGAGUAGUAGGUCUGUACAGGUCGAUGAGUGAGUAGUAGGUCUGUACAGGUCGAUGAGUGAGUAGUAGGUCUGUACAGGUCGAUGAGUGAGUAGUAGGUCUGUACAGGUCCAGUGAGUAGUAGGUCUGUACAGGUCCAGUGAGUAGUAGGUCUGUACAGGUCCAGUGAGUAGUAGGUCUGUACAGGUCCAUGAGUAGUAGGUCUGUACAGGUCCGUGAGUAGUAGGUCUGUACAGGUCCGUGAGUAGUAGGUCUGUACAGGUCCGUGAGUAGUAGGUCUGUACAGGUCCAGUGAGUAGUAGGUCUGUACAGGUCCAGUGAGUAGUAGGUCUGUACAGGUCCAGUGAGUAGUAGGUCUGUACAGGUCCAUGAGUGAGUACUCGUAAACAAAGGGAGUUAUUAUGUAGGUCUGUGGUUUCUCCACCUUUGUUGGCAUAGAUAAAGUCUAUAAAAGGUAGAUGUACUGUCUCACCUAAACCCAUUCUUUCUCUCUCUGCUUUUAAAAAAUAGGAUUAACGGAACUGUCAACAGCUCACAUUCAUGGGCCACCGGUAACAACUCUUAACAUGUAUUCUAGCAGCUGAAUUAGCUAAUGUGUUUUAUUUUUAAUUUAUUUUAAGUGUCCCACUAGGGCAUUUCAGACUACCUUUUUUUAACUGAAGAAUGUCUUCUUUUUUUUACGAUUGUGUUUUGCUUUUCAUUUAUUGUUGUGUAUAAUGUUUAGUUUAAUGUGUAUAUUGUAUUUUGAUGUGCAUUGACUCACUGUCAAAAUAAAGGUGAAAUAAAAAUAA